CACGCCGUAAACGAUGAGCGCUAGGUGUUGGGGGUAUUGACCCCCCCAGUACCGCAGCUAACGCGUUAAGCGCUCCGCCUGGGGAGUACGGCCGCAAGGCUAAAACUCAAAGGAAUUGACGGGGGCCCGCACAAGCGGUGGAGUAUGUGGUUUAAUUCGACGCAACGCGCAAAACCUUACCUAGGUUAAAUCCACAAGAACCCGCCAGAAAAGGUGGGGUGCCUUCGGGAGCUUGUGAGAAGGUGC
rnacentral:rRNA from 1 species